rnacentral:tRNA from 1 species
GGCAACUUAGCUCAGUUGGUUAGAGCAACGAAAUCAUAACCCCCAGGUUCGGGGUUCGAAUCCCUGAAUCGCCACCA